rnacentral:rRNA from 1 species
GAUGAACGCUGGCGGCGUGCCUAAUACAUGCAAGUCGAGCGAACGGACGAGAAGCUUGCUUCUCUGAUGUUAGCGGCGGACGGGUGAGUAACACAUGGAUAACCUACCUAUAAGACUGGGAUAACUUCGGGAAACCGUAGCUAAUACCGGAUAAUAUUUUGAACCGCAUGGUUCAAAAGUGAAAGACGGUCUUGCUGUCACUUAUAGAUGGAUCCGCGCUGCAUUAGCUAGUUGGUAAGGUAACGGCUUACCAAGGCAACGAUGCAUAGCCGACCUGAGAGGGUGAUCGGCCACACUGGAACUGAGACACGGUCCAGACUCCUACGGGAGGCAGCAGUAGGGAAUCUUCCGCAAUGGGCGAAAGCCUGACGGAGCAACUCCGCGUGAGUGAUGAAGGUCUUCGGAUCGUAAAACUCUGUUAUUAGGGAAGAACAUAUGUGUAAGUAACUGUGCACAUCUUGACGGUACCUAAUCAGAAAGCCACGGCUAACUACGUG